AGAGUUUGAUCAUGGCUCAGGAUGAACGCUAGCUGGAGGCUUAAUACAUGCAAGUCGAGCGGGAUUGGCGCAGCAAUGCGCCAUGAGAGCGGCGCACGGGUGAGUAACGCGUACACGACCUACCUUUGACUGGGGGAUAGCCCUGGGAAACUGGGAUUAAUACCGCAUAUAAUUCUCGAUACUAAAGGUUGGGAAUGAAAGUUCAGGCGGUCAGAGAUGGGUGUGCGUCUGAUUAGCUAGUUGGUGAGGUAACGGCUCACCAAGGCGACGAUCAGUAGGGGGCGUGAGAGCGUGGUCCCCCACACGGGUACUGAGACACGGACCCGACUCCUACGGGAGGCAGCAGUAAGGAAUAUUGGUCAAUGGGCGAAAGCCUGAACCAGCCAUCCAGCGUGCAGGAAGAAGGCCCUAUGGGUUGUAAACUGCUUUUGUCAGGGAAUAAACCUGUGGAUUUACUCCGCAGCUGAAGGUACCUGAAGAAUAAGCACCGGCUAACUCCGUGCCAGCAGCCGCGGUAAUACGGAGGGUGCGAGCGUUAUCCGGAAUUACUGGGUUUAAAGGGUGCGUAGGCGGCCAUGUAAGUCAGGAGUGAAAGUUUGCGGCUCAACCGUAAAAUUGCUUUUGAUACUGCAUGGCUGGAAUCAGGAUGAGGUCAGCGGAAUGUGGCAUGUAGCGGUGAAAUGCAUAGAUAUGCCAUAGAACACCAAUUGCGAAGGCAGCUGGCUAGACCUGUAUUGACGCUGAGGCACGAAAGCGUGGGGAGCGAACAGGAUUAGAUACCCUGGUAGUCCACGCCCUAAACGAUGCUUACUCGACGUGCGAGGCUUGUCCUGUGCGUCCAAGGAAACCGUUAAGUAAGCCACCUGGGAGUGCGACCGCAAGGUUGAAACUCAAAGGAAUUGACGGGGGUCCGCACAAGCGGUGGAGCAUGGUGGUUUAAUUCGAUGAUACGCGAGGAACCUU
rnacentral:rRNA from 1 species